AUUGAACGCUGGCGGCAGGCCUAACACAUGCAAGUCGAGCGGAUGAAGGGAGCUUGCUCCUGGAUUCAGCGGCGGACGGGUGAGUAAUGCCUAGGAAUCUGCCUGGUAGUGGGGGAUAACGUCCGGAAACGGGCGCUAAUACCGCAUACGUCCUGAGGGAGAAAGUGGGGGAUCUUCGGACCUCACGCUAUCAGAUGAGCCUAGGUCGGAUUAGCUAGUUGGUGGGGUAAAGGCCUACCAAGGCGACGAUCCGUAACUGGUCUGAGAGGAUGAUCAGUCACACUGGAACUGAGACACGGUCCAGACUCCUACGGUAGGCAGCAGUGGGGAAUAUUGGACAAUGGGCGAAAGCCUGAUCCAGCCAUGCCGCGUGUGUGAAGAGGGUCUUCGGAUUGUAAAGCACUUUAAGUUGGGAGGAAGGGCAGUAAGUUAAUACCUUGCUGUUUUGACGUUACCAACAGAAUAAGCACCGGCUAACUUCGUG
rnacentral:rRNA from 1 species